GCCGCAGUAGCCUGACUGUGCUAAGGUAGCAUAAUCAUUAGGUUUUUUAUUGGGAUCUGGAAUGAAGGAAUAAAUAGGGAGAAGCUGUCUAGUAGGAGGUUUUGAACUUAAAUUUUUAGUAAUAAUGCUAGAAUGAUCUUAUGGGACGAUAAGACCCUAUAAAGCUUGAUUUGUUGACUUUAAGUGUUUUUGCUGAAUUUAAUGUCUUACUAAUUUGACUGGGGCGGUUAGCAGCAUAACCUGUUUUAAUUAUAGUAUUUUUGAUCCAUUAUUAUUGAAAUAAGAUUAAGUUACUUUAGGGAUAACAGCAUAAUAUCCUUAUGGAGUUCUAAUCGAAGGGGAUGAUUAUGACCUCGAUGUUGAAUUAAUCUUAAUGUAUGAUGAAGAAGUUAUAUGUUUUAGUCUGUUCGACUAUUGAACGAUUACAUGAUUUGAGUUCAAACCGGUGUAAG
rnacentral:rRNA from 1 species